AUACUUACCUGGCAGGGGAGAUAGCAUGAUCACGAAGGUGGUCUUCCCAGGGCGAGGCUUAUCCAUUCAUUGCACUCCGGAUGUGCUGACCCCUGCGAUAUCCCUAAAUGUGGGAAACUCGACUGCAUAAUUUGUGGUGGUGGGGUACUGUGUCCACGCUCUCCCCUA
rnacentral:snRNA from 1 species